UCUACGGGAGGCAGCAGUGGGGAAUAUUGCGCAAUGGGCGAAAGCCUGACGCAGCGACGCCGCGUGAGGGAUGAAGGUCUUCGGAUCGUAAACCUCUGUCAGCAGGGAAGAACGGUCACUGUGCUAAUCAGCAGUGAAUUGACGGUACCUGCAAAGGAAGCACCGGCUAACUCCGUGCCAGCAGCUGCGGUAAUACGGGGGGUGCGAGCGUUAAUCGGAAUUACUGGGCGUAAAGCGCUCGUAGGCGGUAGGUCAAGUCAAGGGUGAAAUCCCGGCGCUCAACGUGGGAACUGCCUUUGAAACUGGCAAACUGGAGUGUGGGAGAGGAUAGUGGAAUUCCAGGUGUAGGAGUGAAAUCCGUAGAUAUCAGGAGGAACAUCAGUGGCGAAGGCGGCUAUCUGGCACAUAACUGACGCUGAGGAGCGAAAGCGUGGGUAGCAAACAGGAUUAGAUACCCCAGUAGUC
rnacentral:rRNA from 1 species